UACAGAGGGUGCGAGCGUUAAUCGGAAUUACUGGGCGUAAAGCGCGCGUAGGCGGCUUUGCAAGUCGGGUGUGAAAUCCCCAGGCUCAACCUGGGAACUGCAUUCGAGACUGCAUUGCUAGAGUAUGGGAGAGGGAAGUGGAAUUUCCGGUGUAGCGGUGAAAUGCGUAGAUAUCGGAAGGAACAUCAGUGGCGAAAGCGACUUCCUGGACCAAUACUGACGCUCAUGUGCGAAAGCGUGGGAAGCAAACAGG
rnacentral:rRNA from 1 species